rnacentral:rRNA from 1 species
GACGAACGCUGGCGGCGUGCUUAACACAUGCAAGUCGAGCGAGACCCCGCUUUCGGGUGGGUGUUCUAGCGGCGAGCGGGUGAGUAACACGUGGGCAACCUGCCCUCAGCUCUGGGAUAACUCCAAGAAAUUGGGGCUAAUACCGGAUAUGACCGCUGACCGCAUGGUCUGGUGGUGGAAAGAUUUAUCGGCUGGGGAUGGGCCCGCGGCCUAUCGGCUUGUGGGUGGGGUAGGGGCCUACCAAGGCGACGACGGGUAGCCGGCCUGAGAGGGUGACCGGAGACCAUGGGACGGAGACACGGCCCAGACUCCGACGUGAGGCAGCAGUGGGGUAUAUUGCGCAAUGGGCGAAAGCCUGACGCAGCGACGCCGCGUGGGGGAUGACGGUCUUCGGGUUGUAAACCUCUUUCAGCAGGGACGAAGCGAAAGUGACGGUACCUGCAGAAGAAGCACCGGCCAACUACGUGCCAGCCGCCGCGGUAA